UCUGCCAGUAGUCAUACGCUCAUCUCAAAGACUAAGCCAUGCAUGUCUAAGUCUAAAUAUAUCACUGUGCAACUGCGAAUGGCUCAUUAUAUCAGUUAUAGUCAAUUUGAUAGUCCCUUACUACUUGGAUAACCGUAGUAAUUCUAGAGCUAAUACAUGCGUUAACACCCAUCUAGGGUGGUAUUUAUUAGGUAGAAACCAGCCCCUUCGGGGUGAUGUGGUGAUUCAUAAUAAGCAUGCGGAUCGCACGUUCAUCGUGCGACGGAUCAUUCAUGUUUCUGCCCUAUCAGCUUUGGACGGUAAGGUAUUGGCUUACCGUGGCUUUAAUGGGUAACGGGGAAUUAGGGUUCGGUUCCGGAGAGGGAGCCUGAGAGAUGGCUACCACAUCCAAGGAAGGCAGCAGGCGCGUAAAUUACCCAAUCUUGACACAAGGAGGUAGUGACAAUAAAUAACAAUACCGGGCCUCUCGAGGUCUGGCAAUUGGAAUGAGAACAAUUUAAAUCACUUAUUGAGUAUCAAUUGGAGGGCAAGUCUGGUCC
rnacentral:rRNA from 1 species